rnacentral:tRNA from 1 species
CGGGGCGUAGUAUAGUGGUAGUACGCGAGCAUGGGGUGCUUGUAGCCGCGGUCCGAUUCCGCGCACCCCGACCA